rnacentral:rRNA from 1 species
UACGUAGGGGGCUUGCGUUAUCCGGAAUUACUGGGCGUAAAGGGUGCGUAGGUGGUUUCUUAAGUCAGAGGUGAAAGGCUACGGCUCAACCGUAGUAAGCUUUUGGAAUUGUAAGACUUGAGUGCAGGAGAGGAGAGUGGAAUUCCUAGUGUAGCGGUGAAAUGCGUAGAUAUUAGGAGGAACACCAGUAGCGAAGGCGGCUCUCUGGACUGUAACUGACGCUGAGGCACGAAAGCGUGGGGAGCAAACAGGAUUAGAUACCCUGGUAGUCCCUGA